AGUGAACGCUGGCGGUAGGCCUAACACAUGCAAGUCGAACGGCAGCACAGUAAGAGCUUGCUCUUACGGGUGGCGAGUGGCGGACGGGUGAGGAAUACAUCGGAAUCUACUUUUUCGUGGGGGAUAACGUAGGGAAACUUACGCUAAUACCGCAUACGACCUACGGGUGAAAGCAGGGGAUCUUCGGACCUUGCGCGAUUGAAUGAGCCGAUGUCGGAUUAGCUAGUUGGCGGGGUAAAGGCCCACCAAGGCGACGAUCCGUAGCUGGUCUGAGAGGAUGAUCAGCCACACUGGAACUGAGACGCGGUCCAGACUCCUACGGGAGGCAGCAGUGGGGAAUAUUGGACAAUGGGCGCAAGCCUGAUCCAGCCAUACCGCGUGGGUGAAGAAGGCCUUCGGGUUGUAAAGCCCUUUUGCUGGGAAAGAAAAGCAGCAGGUUAAUACCCCGCUGUUCUGACGGUACCCAAAGAAUAAGCACCGGCUAACUUCGUG
rnacentral:rRNA from 1 species